AGGGCGCACGGUGAAUGCCUUGGCACUAGGAGCCGACGAAGGACGGGACGAACACCGAUAUGCCUCGGGGAGCUGUAAGUAAGCUUUGAUCCGGGGAUUUCCGAAUGGGGGAACCCACCAUCCGUAAUGGGAUGGUAUCCAUAUCUGAAUACAUAGGAUAUGAGAAGGCAGACCUGGGGAACUGAAACAUCUAAGUACCCAGAGGAAGAGAAAGCAAAUGCGAUUUCCUGAGUAGCGGCGAGCGAAACGGAAACAGCCCAAACCAAGAAGCUUGCUUCUUGGGGUUGUAGGACACUCUAUACGGAGUCAGAAAAGAACGGGGUAGAUGAAGCGGUCUGGAAAGGCUGGCCAAAGAAGGUAACAGCCCUGUAGUCAAAACUUCGUUCUCUCCAGAGUGGAUCCUGAGUACGGCGGGACACGUGAAACCCCGUCGGAAUCCGGGAGGACCAUCUCCCAAGGCUAAAUACUCCCUAGUGACCGAUAGUGCACCAGUACCGUGAGGGAAAGGUGAAAAGCACCCCGGGAGGGGAGUGAAAGAGAUCCUGAAACCGUGUGCCUACAAGUAGGUGGAGCCCGUUAAUGGGUGACAGCGUGCCUUUUGUAGAAUGAACCGGCGAGUUACGAUUACGUGCAAGGUUAAGCUGAUGAGGCGGAGCCGUAGCGAAAGCGAGUCUGAAUAGGGCGUUUUGGCAAUGGAUACAUUGCCAUAGUACGUGGUCGUAGACCCGAAACCGUGUGAUCUACCCAUGUCCAGGGUGAAGUUCAGGUAACACUGAAUGGAGGCCCGAACCCACGCGUGUUGAAAAACGCGGGGAUGAGGUGUGGGUAGGGGUGAAAUGCCAAUCGAACUCGGAGAUAGCUGGUUCUCCCCGAAAUAGCUUUAGGGCUAGCCUCGAGGGAAGAGUAUUGGAGGUAGAGCACUGAUUGGACUAGGGGCCCCCACAGGCUUCCCGAAUUCAGUCAAACUCCGAAUGCCAAAUGCUUAUCCUCGGGAGUCAGACUGCGAGUGCUAAGAUCCGUAGUCAAGAGGGAAACAGCCCAGACCAUCAGCUAAGGUCCCAAAGUAUACGUUAAGUGGAAAGGAUGUGGAGUUGCACAGACAACCAGGAUGUUGGCUUGGAGGCAGCCACCAUUGAAAGAGGGCGUAGUAGCUCACUGGUCGAGUGACUCUGCGCCGAAAAUGUACCGGGGCUAAACGUAUCACCGAAGCUAUGGAUUGUCCUAACGGACAGCGGUAGGGGAGCGUUCUGCGUGCAGCGAAGUCAGCCCGAGAGGACUGGUGGAGCGCGUAGAAGUGAGAAUGCCGGUAUGAGUAGCGAAAGGAGGGGUGAGAGGCCCCGCCGUCGAAAGCCCAAGGUUUGCUGAGGAAGGCUCGUCCGCUCAGGGUAAGUCGGGACCUAAGCCGAGGCCGAACGGCGGAGGCGCUGGACAACAGGUUGAAAUGCCUGGACCACCUCCUCACCGUUUGAGUAAUGGGGGGACGCAGUAAGGUAGGGUAAGCGCACUGAUGGAUAUGUGCGUCUAAGCAGUUAGGCUGGUGAAUAGGCAAAUCCGUUCACCAUAAAGGCUGAGCUGUGAUAGCGAGGGACAUUAAGUACCGAAGUUCCUGAUCCUACACUGCCGAGAAAAGCCUCUAGCGAGGUGAGAGGUGCCCGUACCGUAAACCGACACAGGUAGGCGAGAAGAGAAUUCUAAGACGCUCGGGAGAACUCUCGUUAAGGAACUCGGCAAAAUGACCCCGUAACUUCGGGAGAAGGGGUGCUCUGAUAGGGUGCAAGCCCGAGAGAGCCGCAGUGAAAAGAUCCAAGCGACUGUUUAGCAAAAACACAGGUCUCUGCGAAGCCGUAAGGCGAAGUAUAGGGGCUGACACCUGCCCGGUGCUGGAAGGUUAAGAGGAGGGGUUAGCCGCAAGGCGAAGCUCUGAAUUGAAGCCCCAGUAAACGGCGGCCGUAACGAUAACGGUCCUAAGGUAGCGAAAUUCCUUGUCGGGUAAGUUCCGACCCGCACGAAUGGUGUAACGAUUUGGAUACCGUCUCAACGAGAGACCCGGUGAAAUUAUAUUACCUGUGAAGAUGCAGGUUACCCGCGACAGGACGGAAAGACCCCAUGGAGCUUUACUGUAGCUUGAUAUUGGAUUUUGGUACAGUUUGUACAGGAUAGGUAGGAGCCGUGGAAGCCGGAGCGCUAGCUUCGGUGGAGGCGUCGGUGGGAUACUCCCCUGACUGUACUGAAAUUCUAACCUCGAGCCGUAAUCCGGUUCAGGGACAGUGUCAGGUGGGCAGUUUGACUGAGGCGGUCGCCUCCUAAACAGUAGCGGAGGCGCCCAAAGGUUCCCUCAGAAUGGUUGGAAAUCAUUCGAAGAGUGCAAAGGCAUAAGGGAGCUUGACUGCGAGACCUACAAGUCGAGCAGGGACGAAAGUCGGGCUUCGUGAUCCGGUGGUUCCGCAUGGAAGGGCCAUCGCUCAACGGAUAAAAGCUACCCUGGGGAUAACAGGCUUAUCUCCCCCAAGAGUCCGCAUCGACGGGGAGGUUUGGCACCUCGCUGUCGGCUCAUCGCAUCCUGGGGCUGAAGUAGGUCCCAAGGGGUGGGCUGUUCGCCCAUUAAAGCGGUACGCGAGCUGGGUUCAGGACGUCGUGAGACAGUUCGGUCCCUAUCCGUCGCGGGCGCAGGAAAUUUGAGAGGAGCUGUCCUUAGUACGAGAGGACCAGGAUGGACACACCGCUGGUGUACCAGUUGUUCCGCCAGGAGCAUAGCUGGGUAGCUACGUGUGGACGGGAUAAGCGCUGAAAGCAUCUAAGCGUGAAGCCCCCCGCAAGAUGAGAUUUCCCAGGGAGUUAAUCCAGUAAGACCCCUUAGAGAUGAUGAGGUUGA
rnacentral:rRNA from 1 species